GGAGGAAAAGAAACCAACAGGGAUUGCCUUAGUAGCGGCGAGUGAAGCGGCAAAAGCUCAAAUUUGAAAUCUGGCACUUUCAGUGUCCGAGUUGUAAUUUGAAGAAGGUAUCUUUGGGUCUGGCUCUUGUCUAUGUUUCUUGGAACAGAACGUCACAGAGGGUGAGAAUCCCGUGCGAUGAGAUGUCCCAGACCUAUGUAAAGUUCCUUCGAAGAGUCGAGUUGUUUGGGAAUGCAGCUCUAAGUGGGUGGUAAAUUCCAUCUAAAGCUAAAUAUUGGCGAGAGACCGAUAGCGAACAAGUACAGUGAUGGAAAGAUGAAAAGAACUUUGAAAAGAGAGUGAAAAAGUACGUGAAAUUGUUGAAAGGGAAGGGCUUGAGAUCAGACUUGGUAUUUUGUAUGUUACUCUCUCGGGGGUGGCCUCUACAGUUUACCGGGCCAGCAUCAGUUUGAGCGGUAGGAUAAGUGCAAAGAAAUGUGGCACUGCUUCGGUAGUGUGUUAUAGUCUUUGUCGAUACUGCCAGCUUAGACUGAGGACUGCGGCUUCGGCCUAGGAUGUUGGCAUAAUGAUCUUAAGUCGCCCGUCUUG
rnacentral:rRNA from 1 species